GACGAACGCUGGCGGCGUGCUUAACACAUGCAAGUCGAACGGAAAGGCCCUGCUUUUGUGGGGUGCUCGAGUGGCGAACGGGUGAGUAACACGUGAGUAACCUGCCCUUGACUUUGGGAUAACUUCAGGAAACUGGGGCUAAUACCGGAUAGGAGCUCCUGCUGCAUGGUGGGGGUUGGAAAGUUUCGGCGGUUGGGGAUGGACUCGCGGCUUAUCAGCUUGUUGGUGGGGUAGUGGCUUACCAAGGCUUUGACGGGUAGCCGGCCUGAGAGGGUGACCGGCCACAUUGGGACUGAGAUACGGCCCAGACUCCUACGGGAGGCAGCAGUGGGGAAUAUUGCACAAUGGGCGGAAGCGUGAUGCAGCAACGCCGCGUGCGGGAUGACGGCCUUCGAGUUGUAAACCGCUUUCGCCUGUGACGAAGCGUGAGUGACGGUAAUGGGUAAAGAAGCACCGGCUAACUACGUG
rnacentral:rRNA from 1 species